rnacentral:rRNA from 1 species
CUGUACUGUGCGUAACUGUACUGUGAUAUAGGGCUGGUAUGUAGUGAUUACCAAAGUCGUAACAAGGUUUCCGUAGGUGAACCUGCGGAAGGAUCAUUA